UUUAAAGAGAGUUUGAUCCUGGCUCAGGACGAACGCUGGCGGCGUGCCUAAUACAUGCAAGUCGAACGAACGGAGGAAGAGCUUGCUCUUCCAAAGUUAGUGGCGGACGGGUGAGUAACACGUGGGCAACCUGCCUGUAAGUUGGGGAUAACUCCGGGAAACCGGGGCUAAUACCGAAUGAUAAAGUGUGGCGCAUGCCACGCUUUUGAAAGA
rnacentral:rRNA from 1 species